rnacentral:tRNA from 1 species
GGGUCGGUAGCUUAACCGGUAAAAGCACCCCGCUCAUAACGGGGAGACACUGGGUUCGAGUCCCAGACGACCCACCA